rnacentral:lncRNA from 1 species
AUCAUCAUAUAGACCAGCAAGAAAAAUAUGAGAAGAAAUAAGCAAGAAAGGAACAAUAAGGAUUUCAGCAAUUCUCUAAACAGAAAUCUCCUAGUCUAGGGUCCUAGCUCCAACAGAAGCUGGGAUCAAGUUUAGAAGGAUAACUUAGUCCACUUGGGCGUUUGAAGCUGACUCAGACACCAACAUUUCCAAAUCACCAUCUAAGAAACAAAAAUUUGAAAACACAGGGGAGUAUCAAGCUUUCCUAUAGCCAGGAUCCCAACAAUUAAAGAUUGGCAUAAUUUGCCUUCGUGACCAGCUUUUAGAUUUUGGCUUCAGAGAAAUCAACAAUUUUAUGUUGCAACUACCGUUUCACUCCGGCUUUUGGCUUUUGUGAAGCUAAAACAGCUGAACAGAAGGCGGUGUUGCUAGCUUUUCAGAACAACUUUCCCGCUGUUGUUUUACAACAGAUACAGCAAAUGUACAUAUGUCACAUGCUAAACUUGAAUACCCAGAUUACACAUAAUAACUCCCUGCAAAAUAGUUUGCUCGAAUGACCAACAAAACCUCGGUACUGCAACUUAGA